UAUGGAUUACAAUGGGAGCCAGUUCUCACUCCAGGUUUGGAUCACUUGGAUGAUAUAAAUCUGGAACGAGUUAAAUGCAAACUUGAAAUGACCAUUUUAAAGAUUGUCUUGAGAAGAAAAGAGUCUUAAACCAGGCAGACAACAGAAUGAAGACUUUGGAAUUCUUACUAGUUUCCCAGGACUAACCCAUGAUUCCCUCCAUUAGUGGAUUGGAAGCUACCUGGAAAUAAGCUAAGUCUCCUUCCUGAAUAUGUAUGUCCUGCAAAUGUUGAAUGUAAUAGUGCGGUCAUCUAAAACCUGUUAGCUGUCCCAUGCAAGCAGAACAUGUCCCACAGCUCCAACAUUUUUACUUUGCUACCACUCAACUGGAAUAAUGGGUAAACUAUUGCAUGAAAGACACUGACUAAAUUCUAUUCUCACUCAUUUCCAUGUAAUUUCCCAAAAUAAUGGAAUAAAACAAAAGAAGUGGAGCCUAUAGAAAAUCUGAUCCCUACCAGAGACACUGUUUUUAUGUUCAGAGCACAGCCAUUUGGAAUGAUUAUUUUUAUAUGAAUCUCCAGGUACAUUAUUAUUGAUAUUAAUGGGAAUAAAGAAUGUACACACAAGCUGUUAGAAUCAGGACAGUGGGAUGGGAGCGAUACAUAACAAAGAGAAAAUUCUCUGCCCAGGGAAUUCAGACAGUGCUGUGCAGUCACUGCUAUGCUAUUUGCCACAUGCUAUAUACAGUCACAAAAUAUUCCACCCUGUCAGAGACAUGGCCAGAAAAAGCCUUGUGAACCCCAAAGUCUUACGGUCUUAUAAUAACCACUGAAGCACACCCUCCACCACAAAAGGAACACAGCAGAGCUCCUGCUGACCUGCACAGGACAAGCUGUAUGCAAUUUAUUCUACUAUGUAAAGAACCAGGCAAAAUCAGAGAGGUUGGUGUCAGUACAUCCAUGGCCGUUUAGCAUUUCUCUGGAACUGGGGCAGGGAAACAUUUUUGGCUACCUUAAUGAAACUUCAUAAUGCUGGAAUGCAGUAUUAAAAAAAUGCCUGGAGUUUUCAGAAUAUCCAUUUAUUUCAGUGGAUAAAAACUAAAUUUGGGCACCACUUUUUGGGUGAAAAAGGAUUCCAUCACAAAAAAACUAACAACCUUUCAAAAAUUAAUGUCUUCUCCCCCCUCUUCCCACUUCUUAAUUUGUAAAUUUAUAUUCCUGAGAGUUGUUGGACCAGCGUACUAGGAGGCUACUCAUCACUUGAAGUUCAAAUGCAGGAUCUCGGAGAAACAAAAGGCACGGGAGUCUUUAUGAAUACUUCUUGGAAGAUGGAACAUAGUGAUGAUACAAGUCCUUACUGUAAAAUGCCAUUCCUAUUGUCUACAACACUGUACAUAUUAUUGUCAUUCCUAUUACUAUUUUUCUGAAAGAAAUCAGUCUAAGACUUCAGUUACAAUCCAACAACAAAUGGGAUAAAACAGCAAACGCAAUGAGCUGCUGACUGAUUUGUCUUCCAAAACCCUCAGGAGCUACCAGUUCUCAAUAAUGUGUCUACAUGCUUUAAUUACAAAUUACCACAAUCACGUUAUUUUCAUUUAGUCUUUAUUGUCCAACAUCAGCGUAGCAACCUGGAUGAACAGUACUUAUCUGCUUGUGUAUUGGUUUUAAGAAGAGACUGGGUCAGGUCACACGUCUUGUUCCAUGCAAGAGGAGUGGCUGCAGAAGGAGGGGAGCUGAAGUUGAUCAAGACAUCAUGCCAGGACCCCCAGGAACUAAAGCACUGUGCCAGACCAGGGCCACCUUUGGAAGGAUUGGACCAAUCCUGAAGAUCCUGUCAACUGAUGGAGCCCAGGGAAGAUGAGUGUUUGUUGGUACUGACUCUACCUUACACUAAGAGGGUAAGAUGGAAAGCCUGGCUCGGUAGACUUUUUUGUACAGUGCUGGACUGUGGCUCCAGUAAAAAUACCACCGAUUUGGGACUGGAAGGUAUUGGAGGGAGUAGAGAGCCAAGGAGACCUCAAAGCUACCCUGUUUGUUUGUCUAGAAGUCCUCACUGAACUGCUGCCAAAAUGAUUUAAUAAGCAUGUUAUUUUUGGUGGUAGUGACAGUUUUCACCAUCAGUAUUUGAAGAGGCAAGCAGUAUCAUUCAUAACAAACAUAUUGCAGUUUGGUGAUGUGUUACACCUGCAGCCAGACCUCCUCUUUCUUGUCCUCUAAAACUCCCCUGGUCUUUCUCACACUGGCUGGGGCCACUUCUAGGGAGCUGGGAGGACAAAGCAGAGGAGGGAGAAGAAUCGUGCAGGCAAGCAUUGUUCUACAUUAGAUUUUUACAGAAUUUAGAAAGUUCCUCCCCUCCUCUCAUCACCACAGUACUUUGUUUAAAUUGCAGCGGGAAAAUUAUGGAGUGUAGAUAAAAAAGCUACCCCAAAACUCCCUCCUGUAGCAGACCUGGUGCAAGUGCAAUCAUAAUUCAGAAUCAAAAGAACAAACCUUGCACACUGUUGUUGUUUAUUAUGAGCAGCAAAUUGCCAUUAUUUUUUACUGAGCCUGAGGGGUGGUUUGAAACCCAUUCUCAUGCUUCAUGGUGUUUUCAACUCAACAUGAACACAGGCUGCAGAGUUAGCUCCCAAAUACAUUGGAUCACAAUUUGAUGAUAUUGGUGAAGUGGUUUUGGAAACCUCUUUUGGGGCUGCAGCAGUUUGUACCCAACACCCUGCUGUGCUACUACUGCUCUUUCAGAAGCUUCAGCACUUCCAACCCCAUGGCCAUACUCAUUUAUGACAAAGUUCCAUAGCACUAUAUAUUAUUUAAGCUUCUGUGAUGAUUAGGGAAAAAGGAGAGACAUUCCAUCAGCUGCAGAGGGGAACAUACAGAAAUGCCUUUGCUUGUGGACUAACCCUCUGCUGCUGGAGGAGCUGUGAUACCCAAGCAGAGAGCUUACAAGAAAUCAGCAAGAUAUGUUUAAACAGCAAUUUGGAAUCACCAAAUACUAGCCAAAUAUAUCUCGCUGUUGUUAUAGUAUAAGUAUAAUUACUGCUAUUAUUAGUAGUAGCAAUAGUUUAUUACUGGUUAUUAUUAGUCAUAAUUUUUACUGUGGUACCACUUAGGAAUUCCCUUAGACCAGAGUGCCAUUGCAGUAUGUGCUGUAGCACUGUUACCAUGACAAUUUUUCUCUGUUUGCCAGUGUGUUUUGGCUAGAGAGCCAGCUGUUGACUAGCUGUACUCCAAGUUGCCGAGCAAUAAAUCCCAAACCAAAUUCACAA